rnacentral:rRNA from 1 species
UCCUACGGGGGGCAGCAGUGAGGAAUAUUGGUCAAUGGGCUAAGGCCUGAACCAGCCAAGUCGCGUGAGGGAAGACGGUCCUAUGGAUUGUAAACCUCUUUUGUCGGGGAGCAACGAGGCCACGUGUGGCCGAAGUGAGAGUACCCGAAGAAAAAGCAUCGGCUAACUCCGUGCCAGCAGCCGCGGUAAUACGUAGGGAGCGAGCGUUGUCCGGAUUUACUGGGUGUAAAGGGUGCGUAGGCGGCUUGGCAAGUCAGUAGUGAAAUCCAUGGGCUUAACCCAUGAACUGCUAUUGAAACUGUCGG